AGAUUGAACGCUGGCGGUAUGCUUAACACAUGCAAGUCGAACGGCAGCACAGGGUAGCUUGCUAUCCGGGUGGCGAGUGGCGGACGGGUGAGUAACGCGUAGGAAUCUACCUUUUUGUGGGGGAUAACCCGGGGAAACUCGGGCUAAUACCGCAUACGCCCUACGGGGGAAAGCGGGGGACCUUUGGGCCUCGCGCAAAAAGAUGAGCCUGCGUCCUAUCAGGUAGUUGGUGAGGUAAUGGCUCACCAAGGCGACGACGGGUAGCUGGUCUGAGAGGAUAGGCCACGCCACAGUUCGGGACUGA
rnacentral:rRNA from 1 species